AACCCUUGCAAUGAUUGUGUUUUCCGAAUGUUUUUGGAAAAUGUUAAUUUUCCAAUAAAACACAUCAAUAAUUGAAUGAAAAUGCUUUUCAAGCCAAAGUAAAAUUUGUUUGCAUUAUUGAAGUGACAAGUCAUUUGAAAUUAUAGUUGAAACUGUCAAGUUGAACAUUAUUCUAUAAAUUGGACCAAAAUUACAAAAUACUGCAUCAGAGAUGGAAAAGACUGAGUGCAGAUGAAACUUUCAAUCAUCGAUUGAAUUAAUACACUGUGUUGAUCGUUGAUUUGUGAAGGUUGUUUAUGCAAAAAACAGAUCGAAAAUUGAGUGAAAUGGUUUUCAUGAAACCGCAAAAUUUGCAAACUAGAAAUUAGAGUGAGAUGUUAAGCGAAAAAAUUGGGGGUUAUGUUGAUGUGUGAAAUUGAGAAUCAUUUUCAUCGUAUUCUUCCUUAGAAUUGUAUCAAACACGCAUAGAAAUCCAUCAACAGGSUAAAAAAACACGUUCACAAACAUCAUACAAUCUGAACUUCGAUCGACGAUCAAAUACAUUGCAUGAGAUUAAAAACCCCGAGACUYCGAGGAGAAAGAUGCCCUAAUUUUUUUUUCUAGAUCAUGUUUGUGAAUUUUUU